GCCGCGCCGUGUGGCGACGUGUGAACGAAAAUCGUGAGUUGAUGAAGUUUGUGUGGUGUCAUUAUGGAGAAGAAUCUAGAUGAUACCCUGGUGUCGUUUGGUGCCCAUGCCGACGUCUUCGGUCUAUUUCAAGUGGACCCAGAACGUGGAUGCAUGAAAGGGAGGGCAUAUUGUGAUACAAGCCGUCGUCGACAAAAACCAUUGGUCUGCCGCUCCAAACCUCUCUCUCAUCGCGGAGGUUGACUCUGGAUCCGCGCCUGGAACGGACGACGACAGCGACACGACACGUACAUGCCUCUGGGGUGGUCCAACUAGCGGGCCCUUUUCACUCGGGCCGGAUUCAGCCACAUCCUCCCUCCCCUGGCUCGCCCAGACACGACCCCUGGCCUCCGAGGAGCUCCACCAGGGUUUUUUCGCCUGUUGUCGCAGUAGACUAGCAAGCGUGCUGUCUCUGGCCGCUUUCGUCCAACAACUUGGGAACUCCUCAUAAUUCUCGCCGG